rnacentral:rRNA from 1 species
UACGGAGGGUCCAAGCGUUAUCCGGAAUCAUUGGGUUUAAAGGGUUCGCAGGCUGUUUAUUAAGUCAGUGGUGAAAUCUCUCGGCUCAACCGAGAAACUGCCAUUGAUACUGAUAAACUUGAAUACAGUUGGAGUAGGCGGAAUGUGUAGUGUAGCGGUGAAAUGCUUAGAUAUUACACAGAACACCGAUAGCGAAGGCAGCUUACUAUACCAUUACUGACGUUCAGGCACGAAAGCGUGGGGAGCGAACAGG